rnacentral:rRNA from 1 species
AUUGAACGCUGGCGGCAUGCCUUACACAUGCAAGUCGAACGGUAACGCGGGGCAACCUGGCGACGAGUGGCGAACGGGUGAGUAAAGCAUCGGAACGUGCCCAGUAGUGGGGGAUAGCCCGGCGAAAGCCGGAUUAAUACCGCAUACGACCUAUGGGUGAAAGGGGGGGAUCGCAAGACCUCUCGCUAUUGGAGCGGCCGAUGUCAGAUUAGGUAGUUGGUGGGGUAAAGGCCUACCAAGCCGACGAUCUGUAGCUGGUCUGAGAGGACGACCAGCCAAACUGGGACUGAGACACGGCCCAGACUCCUACGGGAGGCAGCAGUGGGGAAUUUUGGACAAUGGGCGCAAGCCUGAUUCAGCCAUGCCGCGUGCGGGAAGAAGGCCUUCGGGUUGUAAACCGCUUUUGUCAGGGAAGAAAUCCUUUGGGUUAAUACCUCGGGGGGAUGACGGUACCUGAAGAAUAAGCACCGGCUAACUACGUGCCAGCAGCCGCCGUAA